rnacentral:misc_RNA from 1 species
AGAACUUUAUCAUCUCAUUCACCAAUUGUCUUUAUUUUUUCAAAUCUUGUGCAUUUCCCUCCACUUUGUUCACUUUUUGCAAUAAGGUACAUUGAUUGUGAUUGGUGGUCUAAUUCACGCGGUGCUCUCAGGGCGAUGUUGUAUGUAGCGUAAUGGCGUUUUCUGAUCUGUUUUCACUCAUUAUGUCACUUCAAAAGUGCAAUAAGAUAUUAUAAGACAUAUUUUUGGAGUGCAGCGGACGGGGGUAGGAACGAAGGGUAAUGAGAGAAUGUGAGAAAGAUUUUUUGGAGAGAAAAAGAGCAAGAGAGCGAGGGAGCGACUUUUCAAUUUGUCAACAAUAUUUUGUAUCCACAAAAGUGCCAAACUGAACAACUCAUGUUAAAAGAAAAUUUUUGAAAUGUAGAUCUACUUUUUUUCAGUAUCUGCAUUAAUUGUACAUAAGUUUACAAAGUACACAUCUGCGAAUUCUUAAUAACCUGACCUUUUUUCUUUUAAUAAUCUAAUGCCAUAUUCUUUUGAUUCAAAAUUCAAAGGCUUUACACCCCUUCUGCUUGGGGCUUUUUGAACGGAGCAGUUAAUUUGAAAAUGUUGUGUACAGAUCAGCUAUGGCUUGCCCCGGCGAUCUCUGCAUUGUAGCCUUCUUUGACUCGUGCACCCGAUCGCGUGUGUAUUUAUGAUUAAAUACAUUACAGAUAAUUAAGUUAAGCUUGAGCUGCACUCCCAACACCUGUCUGAAACCAACACUAUGUUUCUUCUGUCUUGUCAUUGUAGUAUUUAUAUAUGAUGCCAGUAUUCAAUGCCAAAAUGUCCUAAGAAUGUGACUUAACUUAAUCUGUGUCUCUGUCUGGUGAAAAAAGGCAAAGAAUUUAAGUUAAAUCCAUUGUUGUUGUCAUAAAACUUUAACUUAUGAACAAACAUCAAGUGUAGCUGUUGUUAUCAAUUUGUAUAAUAAAACAUUUUUUAAAUGAC